GGCCAGUUAGCUCAGUUGGUAGAGCAGCGGAUUGAAAAUCCGCGUGUCCGUGGUUCGAUUCCGCGACUGGCCACCA
rnacentral:tRNA from 113 species